CAGCCAUGGCAAAAAUCCGCAAAAUGUCAUUUGAUUCACCAAUAGACGCUCAUUUCUUGUUUCCUCUGCAAUUUCUCCGCUUCUACGGUUUUGUUCAUCGAUCAAAUCAGCCAUGGAAGCCGAGAUAAUAAAACUGGAAAACUGCUCCUGCUGAUUUCCGGUUCCCUACAACAAACCAAACCAGGCACUGAUUUACUCGGUACAUCGAGUUCCACAGAUGUACAAAUGCAAAGGGCGAGGAGUCUAAUGACUGCGAAAGGUUUGCCAAGUAUUACCACGCCCUCUGUCCUGGAGAAUGGGUUGAGAAGUGGAACGAGCAGAGGGAGAGUGGAACUUUUCCGGGUCCUCUUUAAACCAGGCUGUUUUUCAAAUCUUGAUGAAGAUGCAAUCAAGUUCAUAAGGGCAAAUAAUGGUACAUAGUUUGGGGUCAUGUUAUGAUUGUUGACUAGCUUUGUGUGUGUUUUCCCUUUUGUUUUUUGGAGCUCUAGCCUCUAGUCAAAGUGCUUUCUUGGGAUGUAUAAACAAGACCGAUCAAAUCAUAACAUGGAAAUGAGAAGAAUCUUGA